rnacentral:rRNA from 1 species
AUGGUUGCUCCUCUUUCUGCCCGGUCUGGACCACGUCGCCGGGGUCGUCCUCCUGGGGUUCGAGCGGCCGUUCUUGCCCGUGUGCGCCGUGCGGGCGUGUCUGUUUCUUUUGCAGGUUCUUCGUCCGGGCCGGUAGCCGCUGCUGUGCGUGCUCAGCUGGCUGGAGUCGAUUCAGGGUGGCUUCUCCGCUCUGCGGCUCGCCGGCGGUUCCGUUCCCGCCGGGCUGGUGGUUUUUUUUACUCUUCUGUACUUGCCGUCCUCUUUGCAUUGUUCUUUUACUUGUUUGCUUGCUGUGUGGUCAGCUUAUUUGUUUACUUGGAUUGUUCUUCUACUUGUUUGCUUGCUGUGUGGUCAGCUUAUUUGGUUAAUUCAUUUUGUAGGCUGCCAGCACUCUGA